CGCUGCACGGGGUGUGCGGAGGAGGCGGUGCUGCGCGUGGCCCCGCCUGAAGCCGGCUGCAGCUGAGGCAGGCGGCGAGACGGAUGCGCCGUUUGCAUUCGCCCGCAGUCAUUUUUAUCCGCGGAGGAUUACAAAGCCCCAAACAGACCUACCCGCUGAGGCGGCUGAGAAAAGGCGGUUCGGCAGGUGCAGCGCUGUCAGGAGAUGAGACGGCAAGCCAGACACACACCUGCUUUGAGACAGGAUAACCGCGAACACUGGACAGUCCAGGAAAUCCAAGGAGACAGCUAACCAAAAGGACGUCAGCACCUUGAAGGCUGGACCGAGGCGGGGGUGUGCUUGACAGAGAUGUCCACUGACCGCACAACUUGAAAGGUGACGCGGCUCAUUAUCAGGCAGUUUUCUUGGUGAGAAGUGACUAGACCCUAAUGCUUCAGUGUGAGCACACUGGCUUGGGACAGUUGGUUGGUCCUAACUAAGUAUGAAACCAGAUAUGAGACAAAAUGCCAAGAUGUGGGAGGGAAAUUGAAAAGGCCCCUUGCAGCUGCAGGGUCUGCUCGCUCUGCAUUCCUGCAGGUGCACAGCAGGGCUCCAGCGUCUAAGACCCCCACUCCCACCCCGUAAGCACAUCACACUCGUCCUCCAGGUUCAAAACGCAUCCUCACAGCCUUUCAAAGCACCUGACAUCCUUUCAAGUUAGCUGCUACAAAGGCAAAUGCAAACAGCGUGUUUGGGGGCAUUCUGUCAGUCAGCCCUCAAUCUGUAUGUUCUUCCAGACACUCCCUUUCCUGCCUGAUUUAUUUCAUAUUAAAAGGGCUGUCAAUCUGUAUCACAGGAACAGGCUGAGAAAAAGUGAGUGAUGUUUGCCGAGUGGGAUUUUUGUUGUUGUUUGUUAUUGUUAAAAUUAAUGGUCUCCUUCUCUCCGGCCACACUCCUGACUCACCCUCCAUGACUCCCUUAGGACUGACUUGCCUUUCUCUGCAGGUAUCUGCACAUCAGAGGUAUGAAUUGCACGUACCAGAUGCAUUUACAUUAGAAACGUAUUUUGUGAGGCUGUGGCAGACCCUUUUUUAUUAUCCAUCAAAUAUAUCUCUUUUUACCAUCUGAUGGCUUGGCAACAGGACCGUUCUUCUUUCAAACAAAAUAAAUGUGCCUGCAACGUGGCAGAAUAUUCAGCAUUGAAGAGGCUUUGCCCUGGUUAAUGCACAUUGCAUUCUGUGGACAUUACGACAGGACACUAAGUAUGCAAUAGGCAGUUCUGGGUGGGAGUGCUUUAUGGGACCAGCUGCAUUAUUGUUGUAUGUUAUGAUAUUGAUUAUUGCCUUCUCCUGUCACUUAGGCCAGCUUUUCUUACUUUUAUCUGCUAUUUUGGCCUGUAAAUAGAAUUGCUCCAUCAUUCUGUACUAUUAAUUUCUCACCAAUCCUGAAGGUGCCUGAUUCUUAGAGAACCAAUCAGAGCCAUCUUCACCUGCCAUGUGAAAAACUCCCAAAUUACCAAGAAACCAGAAGUCAGAUUGUUUUCCAGGCACAGGGUCUAUUUUGAACAUGUGUGAAAAUGACUGCGGAGCUUGUUGAAAAACAAACUCCUAGGUCCCAACCCCAGAAAUGCAGAAGGUGUGGGGCUGGGCCCGGGAACCUGCAUUUUAAGUAAUUGCUCAGGUGAUGCGUGGAAAAAGCUGGGGGUGGGGGUGGGGUCAGGUGGGAAUGAUCAGGGGUUGUCAGGGAGCUGGCAGGAGGCCCUGGACUCUGUCCCAGACAUUUGCUUGUGAUGCAGCUGACCCAGGCUCCACCUCCUCCCUGCAGCCCUCCCCCAGGCUCCACCUCUUCCAGCUCUGCUCUCAAGUAUUUCAGAGAAGCACAUAACCACUUAGGAGAAAGGCCCAAAUCUGAAAUGAUACUAAGGCUGCUCUCUCUUUUCCAAAAGAAUUAGGCAUAUAAUACAAUUUUGUGAUGAAGAGGUGGGAAGGAGAGGAGAGGAAGAAGAAAAAUACUCUAGAAUAGAAAUAUAUGCUAAACUACUGCUCAGGAACAAAGCCCUGCAGAGGCCCUAGGAAAAUGCUGCUUCAAGGAAGCAGCAGACCUCCUUCCUGGAGGAUAUGUCACUGGGAGACACCUGGGGCAUCCAGGGAGGGUCAGGUGUGAGAAGAUGCUGCUCGGCAAGGGAUGCAGCACCACAAAUCUGCUUUUGCUCUCAGCUAACACUUGCUGAAAGGCGGCCUCUGAAGAGGAUGGGGCAGAUCUGUGAGGACCCACUGGGACUUAGGAAGAAAACUCAUGGAACACCUGCAGUAAAAUAAUUAUAUUAAAAACAAAAAUAAUAAAGACUCAAAUUCAUCAACUCCUAAUUAUUUUACUAUUAUCUGUGCUAUUGAGGUUAUUUACGUCUGUUGGAUCUGUCUGGCAGAAAUGCUAUGCAGUGGUGGGCUACUCUGUGUCUUACCCCAGUUCUGCAUUCAGUAAUAUCAUCUUGGCAGCUUGAAACUGACCAUGGUAGGUGUAUUUACACCAUGGAAAUCAGCAAAUACUGCAGAUCAGCACUUGGUUUAUUGUUUCAUGGACUAUCUAGACUUAAGAAAGGGUUGGAGAAAAAAUUAAUAAUGCAGAUUACACUUAUAGGUGUGCUGUGUCUAUAGCUGUUACAUCGUGACUACCACAAAACUUUGAGGAACUAUUCUUCCGGUAUUCGAAAGCCAUUAUCUGAUUGAGCAAAGAAGUCACUCGUGUCAUUAACGAACGAAUAUAGUGCUGACAUAUGUCUUCGUUUUCCACUUCUGUCCUACUCAUUAAUGUAAAUGAAAAUAUCAACCACUGUUUGUGCCAGAACUACACUUCAUUCAUCACUUGCAACCCAGGAUGGUGACGGACACAAGAGUUCAUGAAAAAUUGGCAAAGCCUCUGAGUACGUGGAAUUAUAAGUUUUCCUCAUUUUAUUUUUAUUUGUAAAUUAUGUGCUAUGCAUCCUUCAAAUCAGUAAAAUUUCCAAUAAACCCAUGCACACGUAUAUAUACGCAGCCUCCCCUCACACCCCUUCCCCCUUUGCUGAGAGCUGGUUGUUAAAAUUUACUAGCAAAUCACUGCCUUAAUCACAUGAACACAUAUAAACUAGUGAAUUCUUCCUUGGGAACCCCAAGGAAGGAGCAAAUUUAUUCAGAGGCAGUCUUAUCUCAUCUACUAGAUAAUGUGUUUCUUGAGUAAAGAGCCCAUCUCUGAUUCAGUCCUUUAUCUGCUGUUUCGCCUAAUGCAGAACCUGUAUUCAGCAAGUGCUCGUAAAUACUGAACUAAUAGUAUACAGUUAUCCCUUGGUAUCCACGGGGGAUUUGUUCCAAGAGCCCCCCUCAGACACCAAAAUCUGAAGAUGCUCAAGUCCCUUAUAUAAAAUGAUGUAGGGCAGUGAGUACAGUUGGUCCUCUGUAUCCGUGGGUACAGAAGACCACCUGCAUCUCAACACAGGCAUGCCAGCUAACGGUGAGUUGCAUAAAAUACCCACAGCAGGAGUAAAACACAGGAGGACCAGAAAAUAGGACAAAGAAAUGUAGACUCUGUGGUCCAUGAUAAUUUGGGACUAGCAGUUAGGAUAAACCUGCUCUUUUAAAUAUUUGCAAGAAGCUUUCGGAUAAUUUACACUUGGGAUGGUAGCUGAGCUUGGCUCUCCAUCCCUCAACCAUCUUCUCUGCUUCCGGCACAAUCAUUGAAAGCCACCUUGUUUUGGGUGUUUUUGGUCCCGCUCUGCUGGGCCACAGGGAAGACUGCAGCUGGAAUGA